GAUUAACGCUGGCGGCGUGCCUAACACAUGCAAGUCGAACGAGGUAGUAAUACCUAGUGGCAGACGGGUGAGUAACGCGUGGUCAACCUACCGUUGAGUGGGGGAUAACUAGCCGAAAGGUUAGCUAAUACCGCAUACGUCUCCGAGUGGCAUCACUUGGCGAUAAAAGGAGCAAUCCGCUCGAUGACGGGACCGCGUCCCAUUAGCUAGAUGGUGGGGUAACGGCCUACCAUGGCACCGAUGGGUAGCUGGUUUGAGAGAGCGACCAGCCACACUGGGACUGAGAAACGGCCCAGACUCCUACGGGAGGCAGCAGUGAGGAAUUUUCCGCAAUGGGCGCAAGCCUGACGGAGCGACGCCGCGUGUGGGAAGAAGGCCUUCGGUC
rnacentral:rRNA from 1 species